rnacentral:rRNA from 1 species
GACGAACGCUGGCGGCGUGCUUAACACAUGCAAGUCGAGCGGCGCGGCGAACGGGUGAGUAACGCGCGAGUAACUGCCCCCCUCUCUGGGAUAACAGCUGGAAACGGCUGCUAAUACCGGAUAGUGGGGGAUGACUCGCGUCCGAUCAGCUUGUUGGCGGGGUAGUGGCCUACCAAGGCGACGACGGGUAGCCGGCCUGGGAGGGCGACCGGCCACAUUGGUCUGAGAUACGGCCCAGACUCCAACGGGAGGCAGCGGUGGGGAAUAUUGCACAGUGGGGGAAACCCUGAUGCAGCAGCGCCGCGUGCGGGAUGACGGCCUUCGGGUUGUAAACCGCUUUCAGCCAUAACGCGGUAGUGGCAGAAGAAGCACCGGCUAACUACGUGCCAGCCGCCGCGGUAAUUC